GCAUGCAGGCGGUUUGUUAAGUCAGAUGUGAAAGCCCGGGGCUCAACCUCGGAACCGCAUUUGAAACUGGCAGGCUAGAGUCUUGUAGAGGGGGGUAGAAUUUCAGGUGUAGCGGUGAAAUGCGUAGAGAUCUGAAGGAAUACCAGUGGCGAAGGCGGCCCCCUGGACAAAGACUGACGCUCAGAUGCGAAAGCGUGGGUAGCAAACAGGAUUAGAUACCCUGGUAGUCCACGCCGUAAACGCUGUCUACUUGGAGGUUGAGGUUUUAGACUUUGGCUUUCGGCGCUAACGCAUUAAGUAGACCGCCUGGGGAGUACGGCCGCAAGGUUAAAACUCAAAUGAAUUGACGGGGGCCCGCACAAGCGGUGGAGCAUGUGGUUUAAUUCGAUGCAACGCGAAGAACCUUACCUACUCUUGACAUCCAGAGAACUUUCCAGAGAUGGAUUGGUGCCUUCGGGAACUCUGAGACAGGUGCUGCAUGGCUGUCGUCAGCUCGUGUUGUGAAAUGUUGGGUUAAGUCCCGCAACGAGCGCAACCCUUAUCCUUGUUUGCCAGCGAGUAAUGUCGGGAACUCCAGGGAGACUGCCGGUGAUAAACCGGAGGAAGGUGGGGACGACGUCAAGUCAUCAUGGCCCUUACGAGUAGGGCUACACACGUGCUACAAUGGCAGAUACAGAGGGCAGCGAAGCUGCGAAGUGGAGCGAAUCCCUUAAAGUCUGUCGUAGUCCAGAUUGGAGUCUGCAACUCGACUCCAUGAAGUCGGAAUCGCUAGUAAUCGUGGAUCAGAAUGCCACGGUGAAUACGUUCCCGGGCCUUGUACACACCGCCCGU
rnacentral:rRNA from 1 species